UGAAUACGAGAUGCUACGGCGUCGAAGCAGUGUAUGUCAGACUUCCGAGAAAAGCUCGCAAUGUCAUAAAUAAAGAAUGCCUGUACCAUAACCGACACAGGUGGGUAGGUAGAGUAUACUAAGGGGCGCGAGAUAACUCUCUCUAAGGAACUCGGCAAAAUAACUCCGUAACUUCGGGAGAAGGAGUGCCUUCUUUAAGAAGGUUGCAAUAACAAGAUCCAAGCAACUGUUUAUCAAAAACACAGGUCUCCGCUAAGUCGUAAGACGAUGUAUGGGGGCUGACGCCUGCCCAGUGCCAGAAGGUUAAAGAAGUUGGUUAGCUUUUGCGAAGCUGAUGACUGAAGCCCUGGUGAACGGCGGCCGUAACGAUAGCGGUCCUAAGGUAGCGAAAUUCCUUGUCGGGUAAGUUCCGACCCGCACGAAAGGCGUAAUGAUUUGGAUACUGUCUCGGAGAGGGACUCGGUGAAAUAGACUUGUCUGUGAAGAUGCGGACUACCUGCACCAGGACAGAAAGACCCUAUGAAGCUUUACUGUAACUUGAAAUUGAAAUUGGACUUUAUUUGCGCAGUAUAGGUGGAAGGCGUUGAAAGUAAUCUUGCGGGAUUAGUGGAGCCAUCAGUGAGAUACCACUCCUAUAAUGUUAGAUUUCUAACUUUGGAUCAUGAUCUGGUCAAAGAACAGUUUCAGGCGGGCAGUUUGACUGGGGCGGUCGCCUCCCAAAUGGUAACGGAGGCGUACAAAGGUUUCCUCUGAACGGGUAGAAAUCGUAUCUAGAGUGUAAAGGCAUAAGGAAGCUUGACUGUGAGACCUACAAGUCGAGCAGGGACGAAAGUCGGUCUUAGUGAUUUGACGGUGCUGAGUGGAAAGGCCGUCACUCAAUGGAUAAAAGUUACUCUAAGGAUAACAGGCUGAUCUCCCCCAAGAGUUCACAUCGACGGGGAGGUUUGGCACCUCGAUGUCGGCUCAUCGCAUCCUGGGGCGGUAGUACGUCCCAAGGGUUGGGCUGUUCGCCCAUGAAAGCGGUACGCGAGCUGGGUUCAGAGCGUCGUGAGACAGUUCGGUCCAUAUCCGGUGUAGGCGUUAGAAUAUUGAGAGGAGCCUUCUUUAGUACGAGAGGACCGAGAAGGACAUACCUCUGGUGUACCAGUUAACGUGCCAACGGUAAACGCUGGGUAGCUAUGUAUGGAGAGGAUAACCGCUGAAAGCAUCUAAGUGGGAAGCCCACCUCAAGAUGAGUAUUCUCAC
rnacentral:rRNA from 1 species